UUACCGGCCUUUUUAAAGGCCACCAUAUAUUUCGAAGAGCCUACAUU
rfam:Orchesella cincta Ocin01_Sc6733, whole genome shotgun sequence.